AUCCAAUUGACGAGUCCCAACUAGGACGAAACGCUUGUCAAACUAGAU
rfam:Schistosoma haematobium scaffold383_14, whole genome shotgun sequence.